ACUCCUACGGGAGGCAGCAGUGGGGAAUAUUGCACAAUGGGCGCAAGCCUGAUGCAGCCAUGCCGCGUGUGUGAAGAAGGCCUUCGGGUUGUAAAGCACUUUCAGUCGUGAGGAAGGUAGUGUAGUUAAUAGCUGCAUUAUUUGUACGUUAGCGACAGAAGAAGCACCGGCUAACUCCGUGCCAGCAGCCGCGGUAAUACGGAGGUGCGAGCGUUAAUCGGAAUUACUGGGCGUAAAGCGCAUGCAGGUGGUUGUUAAGUCAGAUGUGAAAGCCCGGGGCUCAACCUCGGAAUAGCAUUUGAAACUGGCAGACUAGAGUACUGUAGAGGGGGUAGAAUUUCAGGUGUAGCGGUGAAAUGCGUAGAGAUCUGAAGGAUACCGGUGGCGAAGGCGGCCCCUGGACAGAUACUGACACUCAGAUGCGAAAGCGUGGGAGCAAACAGGAUUAGAU
rnacentral:rRNA from 1 species